AUGUACACAUCUAUUAAUGUUAAAAAUUCUAAAAUGCAUUCACCUCUCUUUAUUUGCAUCAAAUGCCACAAUAAUUGAAUCAAUAUCAAAUUUUCCAGCUCCAUGUAAAUGAUAAGUAAAUUGGUAACAAAAUCAACAUCCAUUUUAUUGUGCAGUUUUGUAUUAAUAAUUCUCAUAGCAAAAAACAUACUUCAAUUGUUACAAUAAACACAAGUAAAAUUAACAUAAGUAGAUUAACAUAUCAACACAAGGUUAUAUAAUUUUUUAUUUUCCUGUCUUUAGUCAGAUUUGACACAACUUUAAAAUUAUUGACAUCUUUUGGAAGUACAAUUUUGAU
rnacentral:misc_RNA from 1 species